rnacentral:rRNA from 1 species
UACGAAGGGGGCAAGCGUUGUUCGGAAUUACUGGGCGUAAAGCGCGUGUAGGCGGCUUGGCAAGUCGGGUGUGAAAGCCCUGGGCUCAACCUAGGAAGUGCACUCGAAACUGCCUCGCUGGAGUGCCGGAGAGGAAAGCGGAAUUCUCGGUGUAGAGGUGAAAUUCGUAGAUAUCGAGAGGAACACCGGUGGCGAAGGCGGCUUUCUGGACGGUUACUGACGCUGAGACGCGAAAGCGUGGGGAGCAAACAGG